rnacentral:rRNA from 1 species
GCUAGUAAUCGUAGGUCAGCAUACUACGGUGAAUACGUUCCCGGGCCUUGUACACACCGCCCGUCAAACCAUGAGAGUUGGCAACACCGAAGUCGGUAGUCUAACCGCAAGGAGGACGCCGCCGAAGGUGGGGUUGAUGAUUAGGGUUAAGUCGUAACAAGGUACC